CCGGCUUAGCACCGGCAGUCCCAUUAGAGUUCCCAACUAAAUGAUGGCAACUAAUGGCGAGGGUUGCGCUCGUUGCGGGACUUAACCCAACAUCUCACGACACGAGCUGACGACAGCCAUGCAGCACCUGUGUUCCAGCCAGCCGAACUGAAGGGCUCCAUCUCUGGUGCCCAUACUGGACAUGUCAAGGGUUGGUAAGGUUCUGCGCGUUGCUUCGAAUUGAACCACAUGCUCCACCGCUUGUGCGGGCCCCCGUCAAUUCCUUUGAGUUUCAGCCUUGCGGCCGUACUCCCCAGG
rnacentral:misc_RNA from 1 species